rnacentral:rRNA from 1 species
UACGAAGGGGGCUAGCGUUGCUCGGAAUCACUGGGCGUAAAGGGUGCGUAGGCGGGUCUUUAGGUCAGGGGUGAAAUCCUGGAGCUCAACUCCAGAACUGCCUUUGAUACUGAGAAGCUUGAGUCCGGGAGAGGUGAGUGGAACUGCGAGUGUAGAGGUGAAAUUCGUAGAUAUUCGCAAGAACACCAGUGGCGAAGGCGGCUCACUGGCCCGGUACUGACGCUGAGGUGCGAAAGCGUGGGGAGCAAACAGG